UGGGGAAUAUUGCACAAUGGGGGAAACCCUGAUGCAGCGACGCCGCGUGAAGGAAGAAGUAUCUCGGUAUGUAAACUUCUAUCAGCAGGGAAGAAACUGACAGUACCUGAGUAAGAAGCCCCGGCUAACUACGUGCCAGCAGCCGCGGUAAUACGUAGGGGGCAAGCGUUAUCCGGAUUUACUGGGUGUAAAGGGAGCGUAGACGGCUUUGCAAGUCUGAAGUGAAAGCCCGGGGCCCAACCCCGGGACUGCUUUGGAAACUGUGUAGCUAGAGUACAGGAGGGGCAGGCGGAAUUCCUGGUGUAGCGGUGAAAUGCGUAGAUAUCAGGAGGAACACCAGUGGCGAAGGCGGCUUACUGGACAGUAACUGACGUUGAGGCUCGAAAGCGUGGGGAGCAAACAGGAUUAGAUACCC
rnacentral:rRNA from 1 species